UACGUAGGGUGCAAGCGUUGUCCGGAAUUAUUGGGCGUAAAGAGCUCGUAGGCGGUCUGUUACGUCGGCUGUGAAAACCUGGGGCUCAACCCUCGAAUGCUGGUGGAUACUGUCGGGCUAGAGUGCGGAAGAGGCGAGUGGAAUUCCUGGUGUAGCGGUGAAAUGCGCAGAUAUCAGGAGGAACACCGAUUGCGAAGGCAGCUCGCUGGGACGUAACUGACGCUGAGACGCGAAAAGCGUGGGGGAGCAAACAGG
rnacentral:rRNA from 1 species